AGCGAACGCUGGCGGCAUGCCUAACACAUGCAAGUCGCACGGGGGGGCUUCGGCCUCCCAGUGGCGGACGGGUGAGGAACGCGUAGGGACCUGUCGAGGGGUGGGGGAUAACCGCGGGAAACUUCGGCUAAUACCGCAUGACGCCGCGGCGUGACAGCCGGGGCCAAAGGCGAAAGCCGCCCGCCGAGGGGCCUGCGUCCGAUUAGCUGGUUGGCGGGGUAGCGGCCCACCAAGGCGUCGACCGGUAGCUGGUCUGAGAGGGUGAUCAGCCACACCGGGACUGAGACACGGCCCGGACUCCUACGGGAAGGAGCAGUGGGGAGUAUUGGACAAGGGGCGCAAGCCUGAUCCAGCAAUGCCGCGUGGGUGAAGAAGGUCGUCGGAUUGUAAAGCCCUUUCGGCGGGGACGAUGGUGACGGUACCCGCAGAAGAAGCCCCGGCUAACUUCGUG
rnacentral:rRNA from 1 species